CAUAUUCAUGUCAUCUGAGAACCAGGACAGUUUUCUUUUCUCAACCUUUAUGCCUUUUAUUUCUUUUUCUUGCCUUGCUGUUUAGGUCUCCAGUACAAUGCUGAAUAAAAAUGGUGAGAGUAGACAUCCUCACAUUAUUUCUCAUCUUACAGAGCAAGAAGGCAAGCCUCUCUCAGCAGCAGGCUGAGUUCCGUACAAGAGCCUCUUGAGUAAGGUGCAGGCCAAUGGGACAGAACGAAAGCUCUUGGUUGACAGCUCAGAAUCUUCUGCCUGCCCUUUCACUUAUCAUCUUGCCACAUGUGUCUUUAGGUAUGACUCAAAGAGCUGGAUUUGUGCUGUUAAAAUAUUUUGGUGGAAGGUAUUUCUUUGGUGAGGUGGUAUAGUGAUUGGGCUCUGGAGAUACCCCUCCAGAUACACCCCAACUCAGGGGCCUCCUCAAAUGAGCUUCUCAUUCUCUCCCGGUAUCUGGACUGUAGGAAGAGGAGACAGGCUUGCAAUGACCCCACUAAGAAGGCUUCCAGCAAAUCAUCACACCACCUCAGUCACUUUGGGACGCACCAUUGUCAAUAUAAUGCACAAGACAUUCUCUUCACAAGAGCAACUACCAAUGUGACGUUCCUAGGACUAAGUCUUAUGACCUAUGUAAAGACAUUUUACUGAUGGCAUAAAGCUUAAGUAAAUGAAGAGACAAACCAUAUUCCUGGAUGGGAAGAUCAUGAAAAUGUUGAUUUUUCUCCAAAUCAAAGCAAAUCCAAUCAAAAUUUGAAUAGGUUUUUGCAGACAAAUAGAAACACUAUUCUAAAAUUUGUCUUGAAAAGCCAAUAUAGUGCAAUUGCCAAGAACUUUAGUAAAAGAAAAAAAAAAUAAUGAUGACUAAAAAUUUCAGCAUAACAAAAUAUGAUGUUGAAAUUUAGCAGAGGAAAAUACUGGUAAAUAUAAAAUAGAGAUUUUCUACAGGCAAGAAAUCACGAUGGAAAAUUUGACAUCUGAAAAUACCAUGAAUGAAAUAAAGAGGCAGAUGUCACACUGGAAAAAUUCUAGUUAUUUCUGAUGGGUGCAAGGGAGGCAGGAAAUGUAGUCUUUUUAACUAGGUAACAAUGAGCUCCAUUAAAUGAGUUUCCAUUUCUAAAGAAGAAAGAGAGUUAGAAACAGGGAAUCAGAAUUUCCUGCCAAAAGAAUCCAUAAUUAAAAAAAAUGAGAAUUCAUAGUAUAAAAAUAAAUGACUUAAGUAUUAACACCAAGAACCUAGGGGGAAAACAACCAAAUACACCUGAAGAAAAUGGAAAACAGAAACUAAAUUAAUGGGAAAAUGGAAAAAAAUGGAAGAACUGAUAAGUAUAUAAUUUUUUUCUUUUCUUUUCUUUCUGCAACAUCUUUUUUUGCCCCAACUUUUUUGAGGUAUAAAUGACAAAUAAAACUUGCAUAUUUUUAA